rnacentral:rRNA from 1 species
UACGUAGGGUGCAAGCGUUGUCCGGAAUUAUUGGGCGUAAAGAGCUCGUAGGCGGUUUGUCGCGUCUGCUGUGAAAACUCGGGGCUCAACUCCGAGCUUGCAGUGGGUACGGGCAGACUAGAGUGCGGUAGGGGAGACUGGAAUUCCUGGUGUAGCGGUGGAAUGCGCAGAUAUCAGGAGGAACACCGGUGGCGAAAGCGGCUCUCUGGGCAUGUCCUGACGCUGAGGAGCGAAAGUGUGGGGAGCGAACAGG